rnacentral:sRNA from 1 species
AAGCGGCGCCGGGCGGGAGAAGAGCGGAGCAGUGGUCGGAGAUGUGGCGACCGUUUCUGGCGUCAUUCUGAGACUCGGCAGUUGCUUCUCACUGCUGCGGCCGGGCCUGUCUGCGGGAGCUGCAUCCUCCUCAUCUGCAGGCGCUGGAAAACCAGACACGAUCGGACAUGCAUGUGGUUCUGCGGCCAAAGCACGCCCUUUGGUUGUGAACUUCAUGAUACCUGUGUGCAGCUCUGUCAUUUCCACUCUGCUCUGCUGCA